GGCGGCAGGCCUAACACAUGCAAGUCGAGCGGUAACAUUUCUAGCUUGCUAGAAGAUGACGAGCGGCGGACGGGUGAGUAAUGCUUGGGAAUAUGCCUUAGGGUGGGGGACAACAGUUGGAAACGACUGCUAAUACCGCAUAACGUCUACGGACCAAAGGGGGCUUCGGCUCUCGCCCUUAGAUUAGCCCAAGUGGGAUUAGCUAGUUGGUGAGGUAAUGGCUCACCAAGGCGACGAUCCCUAGCUGGUUUGAGAGGAUGAUCAGCCACACUGGAACUGAGACACGGUCCAGACUCCUACGGGAGGCAGCAGUGGGGAAUAUUGCACAAUGGGCGCAAGCCUGAUGCAGCCAUGCCGCGUGUGUGAAGAAGGCCUUAGGGUUGUAAAGCACUUUCAGUAAGGAGGAAAGGUUAGUACUUAAUACCUGCUAGCUGUGACGUUACUUACAGAAGAAGCCCCCGCUAACUCCGUG
rnacentral:rRNA from 1 species